UCUGUUUUGGUGUUUUGCCUGUUGUUUUGUGAGAAUAGACAGACUCUGAUCCUAGGUGCAUACCAUAGGUAUUCUCCUUCUGUAGAGGAAGUAGAACAAGAGAGAAUUCAAGUAACUCACCUUAGGUCACUCAGAGGUCUGUGGCAGAGCCGCAGAGGAGAGGCCUGACUCCCAGAUCCAUGCCCUUCCUUCCACAUCUUACGGCUCUGAAAGUUUCCCUGGGGGAAGCAAGCUGCUGUGUUGUGCCCUGUCCUGUGGAGAGGCCCAUGUGACAGGGAACUUAUGUCUCUGACCAACAGCCAGUGAAGCCCUGAGGCUUGCCAACAGCUAUGAGGCUCCCAACUUGAACGGAAUAAAUUACUCCAUAAAGUGCUAUCUGUCUGCCCACGGUACUUUAUCCAUACAUCUAGUGAAACUCUUAACACACCAGCAUCUAAAAUGUGUCUGCAUUUGUGCUUAAAGUAAACUUCUUGAGAGUAAAGACUAUGUGUAACUUAUUUCAUGUUUGUAUAUUUGCAAGGCCUCGCACCAUGAUUGGAACAAUACAUGUUUAUUGACUUAAAUUCCUUUAAAGCACAGUAACAUGGAGAUCAAAGACAGUACUUCUCUUUUCUUAAUUAAUUAAUUCAACAAAUUUAUUCAGAACCUACUUACAUGUUAGACACUGGCACCCCUGAAGAGAUAAUUAUGAAUAAGACACACUUUCGUGUCUUAGUCUCAAUUUAUUUCUGUUGUUCCUGAUAAAUCAAUUGUUGAUGCUGGUGGUGGUAAGCUGAGCCAGUCCACUUCUUUUUGCUCACUCAGGACAUGAAAAAGUUGUGGUGCUGGUGGUGGUAAAAGCAGCAGACAGCAUGUCAAAACUGUGCCCUCCUUCUGACUGUACUUUUGAUAAUUGUAGCAUGUCCAACUAUCACUUACUAUUGCCCACUGCUCCCCAAGGGGACCUCUAGAUGAGCUCAGUGGUAGUCUUCUGCGUCUGGCUAAUGAAGAGUUGGAUCCUCCUGGAGUAGAUAUGCAGGAUGAGUGGGGCCAGGAUGUGAGGAGGGGAUCAAAUCAGAAAAGCCAAGUUUAUCUCAGAUCCAAAGGGCAAGCAUGGGAUGGACAAUGGGGACAAAAUUCAAAGUUUAGAGUCAGUAUUGGACAGGGAUGAAGCUGGAAGUUGUAGGAAUAGAGCUGGAGGUUAAGACUUAGGUAGUUGACAGAUCCAAGAAUUUUGUGGCAAAAAGAGCUGGGAUGUCUAGAGUUAUCUGUUCUUGAAUCGCUCAGCUUACUGAAAGAUACAGUUCUGGCCUGUUUGGGGAGUGAUGUUAGCCUUAUGGCUGAAUAAGAUGUCCCUCACUUGUGUCCCUCCUCCCAAAACAAAUUGGCAUUCAUUCAUGGACAAAAGUGUCUUUGUAGGAGCUGUAGGAUCCAGCACCAUAUGCCAAGGGACCUGGGAGGAGUUUCACCUACCCGUACAUCAGGUAAUAGGCAUAUGAACCUUGCUCCCGGCUGUGAACCCUGCAAUGGCCUGUUAACCAACUCCAGCCCCUCUCUGCUGCAGUCCAGGAGCCCCUGGGAAGCACUGUCUUAGAAAAUCACCCAGGAACAAGAGAGCCUUUGUGGAAGUCCAAGUUUCUAAUGGAGAAGUUCCAGCACACCAUUGGAACAAAAAAGUAUGAGUUUGGGUGCAUUGGAGAGGGUAAGGGGAACAGCUUGACUUUACCUGCAUCGUCCUUCCCCUAAGGUGGCACAGCUUAGGGCCAAGAGAGAUCUUCCUGGCCUGUGCUUUCUCUUGUGAGGGAAAAGGAGAGUGUGUGAGUGAGCACCUGGCUUCCCCAGCUGUGUGAGACAUUGCCACAGAGGCUCAUUUCUCUCUCACCCCAUCCAGAGUACUGAGACAUGAGCUUCAUGACUGGGGGGUGGAAACAGGCUAGGAGAGCAGCAGGUUGGACUCUUAGGGGGCAUUAAAGGGAUGUAGAUCCUACUAACUGUGUCAUAGAGUCCAUCAAGAAGCCCACCCAUGGGCCACUGGGGACACCUUGUCAGUGAAUCUCCCUGACUAGUCCAUUGGUAGCAGCAAGAGCAAGCUUUGGCAAAUGGGUAGUGAACUUGUGCCAAAAGCUGACCUGAAUCUGUGGGCCAGGGAGAAACCGCAAGCUUGAACUCUAGUGCCACUUUUGGAGAAACAAAAGGUAGGCUAUCAUCACCCAGCCUGGUAUGUUGCAGGAUCAAGAGAAGGCACACAAGCUUAAGAAUUCUUCCACAAGAGGGGACAAGAAAUUUGGAGCAAGUGUAUCCGCAGAAAGCCUCAGAAUCACUAGUAAGGCUGAUGGAAGGCAUUUAUUUCCCAAAGGAAUUUAUUUAAGAUUGGAGGUGGUGACUGCUACUUCAAAUGAGAAGACAGCAAUGCAAAACUUCUAGGACAUGAAAAAUCAAGGAAACAUGACAUCGUCAACGAAUCAUAAUAAUCUCCCAGUAACUGAGUAACUGAUCCCAAAGACAAGGAGAUCUGUGAUUUACCUGGUAAUUCAAAAUAGCUAUUUUAAGGAAACUCAAUGAGCUAAAGAAAACACAGAUAAUUCAAGAAAAUCAGGAAAACAAUAUAUGAACAAAUGAAAAGUUUAACAGAGAUAGAAAUAAUAAAAAAUCAAAUUCUAGAGCUGAGGAAUACAAUGAAUGAGAUGAAAAAUGCAACAGAGAACAUCAACAGCAUAUUGGAUCAAGCAGAACAAAAAUCUGUGCAUUAAAAGACAGGAACUUUGAAAUUAUGUAGUCAGAGGAGAACAAAGAAAGAAGAAUUAAACAGUGAAGAAAGCCUAUGUGAUCUAUGAGUGGGAUACCAUGAAAAAAGUAAUUUGCAAAUUAUUGGAGUUCCAGAAGGAGAAGAGAAGGAGAAAGAGGUGGAAAGCUUAUUUAAAGAAAUAAUGGCUGAGAACUUCCCAAAUCUGGCGAGAGAUCUGGAUAUCCAGGUUCGUGAAUUUCAUAGAUCUCCAAACAAACUCAGAGAGCGCCUCUCCAAGACACACAAUAAAUCUAUCAAACAGACAAAGAGAGAGUCUUAAAAGCAGCAAGAGAAAAGAACCUUAUAUCUUACAAGGGAACCCCCCUAAGACUAUCAGUGAAUUUUUCAGCAGAAAUGUUACAGGCCAGGAGAGAGUGGGAUGAUAUAUUCAAAGUGCUGAGAGAAAAACACUGCCGACAAGGAAUGCUGUAUCUGGCAAAGUUAUCUUUCAGAAAUGAUGGCGAGAUAAAGACUUGCCCAGACAAAUGAAAGCUGAGGGAGUUCAUCACCACAAGACUCGCCUUACGAGAAAUACUGAAAGGAGUUCUUCCAGCUUGAAACAAAAGGAAGGUAAUUAGGAACAUGAAAACAUUUGAGAAUAUACCACACAUUGGUAAAGGUAAGUAUAUAGUCAAGUUGAGAAUACUCUAAUACUGUAAUAUGGUAGUGUGGUAACCCCUUAAGUCUAGUGUAAAGGUAAAUUUAUACACUCUAUAAAAAGAGGUAAAUUGCGACGUCAAAAACAUAAAAGGGGAAGAGUAAAAGCGUGGAGUUUUUAUAUGCGAUUGAAGUUAAGUUGCUGUCAGCUUAAACUGGACUGUUUUUGCCAUAGAAUAUUUUAUGCAAGCCUCAUAGUAAUCACAAGUAGGGAAAGCAUUUCAGUUUUAAAUAUUGUUGUCCAGAAAGGCCUUGCUGAGAAAGUGACAUUAGAGCAAAGGCUUGAAGGAGGGAAGGAAUGAGCCCUUUGUAUAAUGGGGGAAGGAGUGUGCCAGGCAGAGGAAGCAGUGGUUAUAGGGGCCCUGAGGGAGGACGUGUCUGUUCUGUUCCAAACCAGGCUAAUGAUAGCGUUAGCACACACAGAUCAGCACUCCCUACAUGCCAGACACUGUUGUAAAGGCUCUACAGCCAUUAUCUCAUUUAAUCCUCCAUGUUGCCCCUGUCCCCAUUUAUAGAUGAAGAGACUGAGGCACAGACAGGUUAGGUAACUUGCCCAAGAUUAUUAGCUGGAAAGUGCUGGAACCCAGGCAGUCUGGCUCCAGAGUCUGUGUGCUCAACCACUCUGCUCUGCUGCUCGGUGUCUAAUCCUUUGGAGUUGUGGAGGGCAUUGCUCAUCACAUUGUACUGUGCCACUUUGCUUUUAGGAGAAACUAUUUUUCUGAUCUUAAUAUUGACAUUAGUUGUACUUGUCUUGAGCCACUGGUUUAUUUCAAUCUAAUGAACACUAUGAUCUGUGAUGAUUGCUGAUCAUGAUUUUAUUUGGGCCACUGAAUAUUUAAAGGUGCACUCAUUUCUUUUUCUUUCUUCGUGUUGUUGUAUUUUGUUUAUCAUUAUAAUCUAGCUUGUAUCCUCUUAGAUAUAGAGAAUGAUGAAUGAAUACAAAUGAAUUUUAAAAGAAGGCUCAGACUUAGCGGUUUAGAACUGAAAAGUAAGCAGCCCUGUCUCUGGGAAAAGCUACCCACCAGCUUGGCCUUGCACAACUAGGAUUCUCAUUUCUUCCUUCUUCCAGCCACAGCCUUCUCCUGUUGCUCCCUCUGGAGCUGAGGGAAGAGGAAAGAAGCAGCCUUCUCCCUGAAACCCCAGCUCUGACUAUUGUUGUCCAUGUGCAAUUAGGAGCCUGGAGUGAGAUCAAACAGUUCAUAUCCUGACCGCCAUCUAUCAGAGGUUGGGUCCUCAGCAUCUUCAUCUGUAAAAUGAAGAUAAAAAUUAUACCUACCUCUUAAAGUCAUGAGGAUUAAGUAAGAUAAUGUUUAUACAUGAAAUGCAUAGCACAGAGCUGAUGCAUAUAAAUACUAUGGAAAUCUUAGCUCUUAUUAUUAUUAGUUACUCUUCUUUAAUUAAACAAAAAAAACACUGGCUUGGUUGCGAUUUGGCUGUCCAUCUUAUCCAGUCAAGUGCCCUGUGGGGCCUCUCUGUGAUACUGAUCCCUCACACCUUGGCUUCCCAAGUAGGUGUGGCCUAUUGGAAACAAAACAAAACCAAUAUGAAUACAGGUAUAUGCUGGAGAUACUGCAGGUUUGGUUCCAGACCACCACAAUAAAGUGAGUCACACAAUUUUUUUGGUUUCCCAGUGCAUGUAAAGUUAUGUUUAUACUAUGCUGCUGUAGUCUACUGAAGAAUGCAAUAGCAUUAUGUCUAAAAAAAAAUGUACAUACCUUAAUUAAAAAAUACUUUAUUGCUAAAAAAUGCUAACCAUCAUCUGAGCCUUCAGCGAGUAGUAGUCUUUUUGCUGGCAGAGGGUCUUGCUUCAGUGUUGAUGGUUGCUGACUGAUCGGAGCGGUGGUUGCUGAAGGUUGGGAUGGCUGUGGCAAUUUCUUAAAAUAAGACAGAGUUUGCCACAUAGAUUGACUCUUCCUUUCACAAACGAUUUCUCUAUAGCAUGAGAUGCUGUUCCAUAGCAUUUUACCCAUGUAGAACUUCUUUCAAAAUUGGAAGUCAAUCCUCUCAAAUCCUGCUGCUCCUUUAGCAACUAAGUUUAUGUAAUAUUCUAAAGCCUUUGUUGUCAUUUCAACAGUCUUCACAUCUUUACCAGGAGGUUUACGGUAUAGUAAACAUAACUCAAGAAACCACUUUCUUUGCUCAUCCAUAAGAAGCAACUCCUCAUCCAUUAAAGUUUUAUCAUGAGAUUGCAGCAAUUCAGGCACAUCUUCAGCCUCCACUUCUUAUUCUAGUUCUCUUGCUAUUUUCACCACAUCUGCGGUUACUUCUUCCACUGAAGUCUGGAACUUCUCAAAGUCAUCCAUGAGGGUUGGAGUCAACUUCUUCCAAACUCGUGUUAAUGUUGAUAUUUUGACCUCUUCCCCAUGAAUCACGAAUGUUCUUAAUGUCAUCUAGAAUGGUGAAUCCUCUCCAGAAAGUGUUCAAUGCCCUUUGCCCAGAUCCGUCAGAGGAGUCACUAUGUAUGAGAGCUACAGCCUUACGAAAUGCAGUUCUUUUUUUUCAAAGAUUGGGCCUGAGCUAACAUCUGUUGCCAAUUUGUUUUUUUUCCCUUCUCCCCAAAGCUCCCAGAACAUAGUUGUGUAUUCUAGUUUUAGGUCCUCUUCAUUCUGCUAUGUGGGACGCUGCCUCAGCAUGGCUUGAGCAGUGUGUAGGUCCAUGGCCAGGAUCCUAACUGGUGAAACCCUGGGCCGCCGAAGCGGAGGGCAUGAACUUAACCACUUGGCCACAGGGCUGGCCCCCAAAAUGUAUUUCUUAAAUAAAAAAGAUUUGAAAGUCAAAAUUACUCCUUGACCUGUGGGCUAUAGAAUGGAUACUGUGUUAGCAGGCAUGAAAACAACGUUCAUCUCACUGUAUAUCCAUCAGAGCUCCUGGGUGACCUGGUGCAUUGUCAAUAAGCAGUAAUAUUUUGGAAGGAAUCUUUAUCUGAGCAGUGGGUCUCAACAGCGGACUUAAAAUAUUCAGUAAACCAUGUUGUAAGCGUAUGUGCUGUCAUCCAGGGUUUGUUGUUCCAUUUAUAGAGCACAGGCAGAGUAGAUUUAGCAUAAAUCUUAAGGGCCCUAGGAUUUUCAGAAUGGUCCAUGAGCAUUGGCUCCAACUUAAAGUCACCAGCUGUAUUAGCUCCUAACAAGAGAGUCAGUCUGUCCUUUGAAGCUUUGAAGCCAGGCAUUGACUUCUCUCUGGCUAUGAAAGUCCUGGAUGGCAUCUUCUUCCAGUAGAAGGCUGUUUCAUCUACGCUGACAAUCUGUGGUUGAGUGUAACCGCCUUUAUUAAUGAUCUUGGCUAGACCUUCUGGAUGACGUGCUGCAGUUUCUACAACAGCACUCACUCCUUCACCUUGUACUUUAUAUCAGGGAGAUGGCUUCUGUCCUUAAACCUCAUGAGCCCACCUCUGCUGGAUCACACUUUCUUGGGCAGCUUCCUCCCCUCUCUCGGCCUUCACAGAACUGAAGAGAGUGAGGGCCUGGCUCUGGAUCAGCCUCGGCCUGAGGGAGUGUUGUGGCUGGUUUGCUCUUCUGUCCAGGCCACUGAAACUUCCUCCAUAUCAGCAACGAGGCUGCUCUUCUUUCUUAUCAUUCGUGUGUUCACUGGAGUAACACUUUUCAUUUCCUUCAAGAACUUUCCCUUUGCAUUCACAGCUUGGCAAACUUUGGCACAAGAAACCUAGCUUUUGUCCUAUCUUAGCUUUCCACAUGCCUUCCUCGCUAAGCUUAAGCAUUUCUAGCUUUUGAUUUGAAGUGAGAGAUGUACGAUUCUUCCUUUCACUUGAACACUUAGAGGCCACUAUAGGGUUAUUAAUUGGCCUAACUUCAAUGUUGUUGUGUCUCAGGGAAUAGGGAGGCCCAAGGAGAGGGAGAGACGGGAGAGCAGGCGGUUGGUUGAGCAGUGAGAACACACACAGCAUUUAUCGAUUAAGUUUGCUGUCUUAUAUGGCCACAGUUCGUGGAGCCCCCUAAAAUUAUACUAACAUCAGGGAACACUGAUCACAGAUCAUCAUAACAAAUAUCAUAAUAGUGAAAAUGUUUCAAAUAUUGUGAGAGUUACCAAAAUGUGACAGAGGCAUGAAGUGAGCAAAUGCCGCUGGAAAAAUGGCACCAAUAGACUUGCUGCAUGCAGGGCCGCCCAAACCUUCAAUUUGUAGGAAACAAUAUCUACAAAAUGCAAUAAAGCAAAGCACAAUAAAACAAGCUAUGCCUGUAGUGAAUAAAACCAACAAGCAUAGCCAGGUUCCAACUGACCAAAAGCUUCGGUAAUGCUGAAGAUAGGGCUUCGCAGAGAUGACACGGGAGAGAGGACCAGGCAGAGAGGAGCUAUGUGAGGCAGUGCCUUUGCUUUGUAAGCUUGUCUCCCUCCCCCAACCAUUUUCAGUUGCUUAAGAAUUGUCUAGGCUCCUCACAAAAUUGGUAUUGACUCUUUUAGGAUUGCUUCAAGUUCUGCAAGAAGAAAAUGAUCCAGUUAAAGAGGCUUAAAAAGUUCUAUUAAAUAAUUUUUGAUUAGUUGUCUUAGAAUAAAAGAAAGUCUUUUUCCAGUGGCCCACAUGUUUGAUAAUUUCUUUUCGUCCUAUGAGAACAUUGAACUCGUGUGACCUUUAUUGAGUGGCGUGGUGUUGUGGGAAGAGCAUGUGCAUUGGGCCUCACUCCUGGCUGUGCAGUUGUAGGCUGCAGACACUGUGGCCAGGGUCCCGAGGUUCCUACCUCCCAAGGCUGUGGAGAAGGUUGACUGGUGUGGCACUGGGAAAGCUCCUCGCAGGUGGCAGACUUUCAGUGAUGUUGGUCUGAUUUUUUGAGGCCUUUUCUUAAAUUAUUUCUCUUUUGCCACAUCAUUAGAACUGCUUAAUUAUUCAGGACUUUUUCAUCCAGUUUAUGGAUUAUUGAGGACCUUUUCUAAUAAAUCUGUCUCCUGCUGACUUUUAAAAUUGCAGUAUAACUGCCUGUCAGUCUGUCAAUUAUGAGAAAUAGAUUAUUCAACAUCAAUAUUAUUGAAUGCCUUGGUAAAAUGGUCUUAUGAAAAAAUUUGAAACUAUAGUUAAAAUGGAGCUUCAGUUGAAAGGUUACUUUAUCUAUGGAUAAAUUUUACAAGUUUAUAGUUUUCUUAUUUUUAAGGUUGCUUUUCUUCUGAUUAGCAAUUAUCACAAAAAUGUGAAAAUCAGAUUAAAAUCACUUAUAAUCCUUCUAUUGCCCAGAAAUAACCGCUGUUAACUUUUAAUGUUUUCACUUUUAUAUGUACAGUUCUUUGUAAGACUUUUUCCACCUGAAAGUAUUUUAUAAAUAUUCUCUCAUAUUGCUAACAUUUAAAUUACUUUCAUAAUGGAUGUACUGGGAUCUACAUAAUCAUUAUCCUAAUUUAAAUAUUUAGGUUGUCCUAAACUUCUCCACAAGGAAUGUUUUGGGACGUAAGCCUUUGUCUGCAUUUCUGAUUAGUGCUUGAGAAUAAAUUCCUAGAAGUGAAAUUGUUGGGUCAAUGUCAAGUAAUAUUGCUGUGUAACAUGUCCUUAAAACUUAGUCACUUAGGGGCCAGCCCCGUGCCGAGUGGUUAAGUUCCCACGCUCCGCUGCAGCAGCCCAGGGUUUUGCCGGUUUGGAUCCUGGGUGCGGACAUGGCACCGCUCAUCAAGCCAUGCUGAGGUGGCGUCCCACAUGCCACAACAAGAAGGACCCACAACUAAAAAUAUGCAACUAUGUACUGGGGAGCUUUGGGAGAAAAAGGAAAAAAUUAAAUCUUUAAAAAAACAAACCAAAAAUCUUAGUCACUUAAAAUGGCAGCAAUCACUCAUUUACUCAUAAUUUUGCAAUUUGGGGACAAUUUAUCUCUGCUGUAUGUGACUGGGGUGGCUUGAUUGGGGCUAGAAGGUCCACUUUCUAGGUGACUCACGUGACUGAGAAGUUGAUGCUGGCUGUUGGCUGGGGCCUCGAGUCUCCAGGUGGACUUCUCCCCUGGGUUCCAAGAGCGAGCAGGUGGAAGCUGCCAGUCCUCUUAUAGGCCACGCUCGCAACUGGCACAGAGUCUCUUCUAGAACGCUCUCUUGGUCAAAGCAGUCACAGGCCAGAUUCCAGAGGGUAGUAAAUAGGCCACAUCUCUUUCUGGGAGAAGUGACAAAGAAUUUGUGGCCAUACUUAAUCUAUCAUAGUCAAAGAGCAUAUUGUUGAAGGAUCUUUAUAAGCAACACCAAGGCACUUUCAAGAAAGGUUGUGCUGAUAUGCAAUUCUACCAGCAGUGCAUAAGAAUACCCAUCAUCAUACUCACCAACAUUAAAUAUGGAAAUUUAAAAAAUGUCCACUUACAUAUAAAAUGUGGGAUCUCAUUGUUUUACUUUGAAUUUACUUGAUUAUUAGUGAGUUUCCAUAUGUUUCAUAAAAAUUUAUAUUUCUUUGUGAAUUAUCUGCGUUUUUUUGCG
ensembl:lncRNA